AACGCACCUUGCGCUCCUUGGUAUUCCGAGGAGCAUGCCUGUUUGAGUGUCAUGAAAUCUUCAAUCUACAAACUUCUUAUGGGGCUUGUAGGCUUGGACUUGGAGGCUUGUCGGUCCCUUUACAAGGUCGGCUCCUCUUAAAUGCAUUAGCUUGGUUCCUUGCGGAUCGGCUUGUCGGUGUGAUAAUGUCUACGCCGCGACCGUGAAGCGUGUUUGGGCGAGCUUCUAAUCGUCUCGUUACAGAGACAACCUUUAUGACCUCUGACCUCAAAUCAGGUAGGACUACCCGCUGAACUUAA
rnacentral:misc_RNA from 1 species